rnacentral:tRNA from 1 species
AAUGAAAAUAUAUUAGUCUUCUAAACUAUUUUUGAGUUCUCUCUUUCAUUU